GACGAGGGGUCCUAGCGUUGUUCGGAAUCACUGGGCGUAAAGCGCAUGUAGGCGGCUUGGUAAGUCGUAUGUGAAAGCCCUGGGCUUAACCCAGGAAGUGCAUAUGAUACUGCUAAGCUUGAGUAUGGGAGAGGGUAGUGGAAUUCCAGGUGUAGUGGUGAAAUACGUAGAUAUCUGGAGGAACACCGGUGGCGAAGGCGGCUGCCUGGCCCAAUACUGACGCUGAGAUGCGAAAGCGUGGGGAUCAAACAGG
rnacentral:rRNA from 1 species